AAUUGCAGUUACACCUUCCAAUUUUUAUUGCCGAAAGUGAUUUCUGCAAAUCUACAAAAGGACUUUCUGACAGUUUACUCGGGAGAGUGGACUUACGAUUUCGCAUAAAAUGCAUCACACGGUCACACUGUUUAUAACAGCUGUUUGUAGCACACGCUUUUCAAAUUUUGUUUAUUGGUGGGGGAAUAAAGUGAAGUGCUUCAUAGCCUCGUUAAAUUAAUAAAAGCUACCCAAUUUCGUUUAAAAACUUUAAGGAGCGGCGAAAAACAAAAAUCACGUUAUGCACACGUAUACGGCGUUUUAAAAAGUGGCCUCACUCCGUUGUUUUUGGUACUAACACUUUAAAAUUUAUAGUGAAGUUAUUUGUUGCCCGCUAAUUGGAUAUUUAUUUGCGACCACUUACUCAUUUUUCUAUUUAUCUACUGAUGUGCGCAUACUUUUCGACUAACUGUUGACUUUUGUGGCGUGCGGCUCAUGCAUGACAACGGAGAGCAGUGUUAAAUUCAAAGAA